rnacentral:rRNA from 1 species
GUAACCGGCUACCAAGGCGACGACGGGUAGCUGGUCUGAGAGGACGAUCAGCCACACUGGGACUGAGACACGGCCCAGACUCCUACGGGAGGCAGCAGUGGGGAAUCUUGCGCAAUGGGGGAAACCCUGACGCAGCGACGCCGCGUGCGGGAUGAAGGCCUUAGGGUUGUAAACCGCUUUCACCAGGGACGAAGCGCAAGUGACGGUACCUGGAGAAGAAGCACCGGCCAACUACGUGCCAGCAGCCGCGGUAAUACGUAGGGUGCGAGCGUUGUCCGGAAUUACUGGGCGUAAAGAGCUCGUAGGUGGUUUGUCGCGUUGUUCGUGAAAUCUCACAGCUCAACUGUGGGCGUGCGGGCGAUACGGGCAGACUGGAGUACUGCAGGGGAGACUGGAAUUCCUGGUGUAGCGGUGGAAUGCGCAGAUAUCAGGAGGAACACCGGUGGCGACGGCGGGUCUCUGGGCAGUAACUGACGCUGAGGAGCGAAAGCGUGGGGAGCGAACAGGAUUAGAUACCCUGGUAGUCCACGCCGUAAACGGUGGGUACUAGG